GGCUUGGUGUUGCAACUCUUGAGGCGGGCUUAUGAGUGGGCUGAUUGGAUAGGGCAUCCAAUACCGCACAAGACUGAAGUUUUUGCGAAAAAUUUUGGUGCAAGGAUUGGCCCUGUGACACCUACCAUCCCUAAAUUACUUAAAAUAUAUAUUAUUUAAAUUAUCUAAUUUUUUGAAUUAUUUAAUAUAAAAUUGGAGAUCCCGAACUCACAUAAUUUUUAGCAUCACAUACAACUAUUUAGAUUA
rnacentral:lncRNA from 1 species